GAUGAACGCUAGCUACAGGCUUAACACAUGCAAGUCGAGGGGAAACGAUAGAGAAAGCUUGCUUUUUCUAGGCGUCGACCGGCGCACGGGUGAGUAACGCGUAUCCAACCUGCCCAUCACUUGGGGAUAACCUUGCGAAAGUAAGACUAAUACCCAAUGACGUCUCUAGAAGACAUCUGAAGGAGAUUAAAGAUUUAUCGGUGAUGGAUGGGGAUGCGUCUGAUUAGCUUGUUGGCGGGGUAACGGGCCCACCAAGGCGACGAUCAGUAGCCGGACUGAGAGGUUGAACGGCCACAUUGGGACUGAGAUACGGCCCAGACUCCUACGGGAGGCAGCAGUGGGGAAUAUUGGGCAAUGGGCGCAAGCCUGCCCAGCAACGCCGCGUGAAGGAAGAAGGGCUUUCGGGUUGGUAAACUUCUUUUAAGAGGGAAGAUAAUGACGGUACCUGACUAAG
rnacentral:rRNA from 1 species